AUUGAACGCUGGCGGCAGGCCUAACACAUGCAAGUCGAACGAGUGGCGGACGGGUGAGUAAUGUCUGGGCAACUGCCCGAUGGAGGGGGAUAACUACUGGAUACGGUACCUAAUACCUCAUACCAUCGGAUGCCCCCAGCUGGGAUUAGCUAGUAGGUGAGGUAACGGCUUACCUAGCCGACGAUCCCUAGCUGGUCUGAGAGGAUGACCAGCCACACUGGGACUGAGACACGGUCCAGAGUCCUACGGGAGGCAGCAGUGGGGAAUAUUGCACAAUGGGCGCAAGCCUGAUGCAGCCAUGCCGCGUGUAUGAAGAAGGCCUUCGGGUUGUAAAGUACUUUCAGCGAGGAGGCGUUACUCGCAGAAGAAGCACCGGCUAACUCCGUGCCAGGAGCCGCGGUAAUUC
rnacentral:rRNA from 1 species